GACGAACGCUGGCGGCGUGCUUAACACAUGCAAGUCGAACGAAGUGUCGAACGGGUGAGUAAUACGUGGGUAACCUGCCCUCCUUUUUGGGAUAAGCCUUGGAAACGGUGUCUAAUACCUACUAAAGGGGGAUGGGCUCGGGGCCUAUCAGCUUGUUGGUGGGGUGAUGGCGUACCAAGGCGGUGACGGGUAGCCGGCCUGAGAGGGUGACCGGCCACAUUGGGACUGAGAUAAGGCCCAGACUCAUACGGGGGGGAGCAGUGGGGGAUAUUGCACAAUGGGCGAAAGACUGAUGCAGCGACGCCGCGGGGGGGAUGAAGGCUUUCGGGUUGUAAAGCUCUUGAGCUAUCGAACGGGUAGGGGAAGAGAAAGCGCCGGCUAACUACGUGCCAGCAGCCGCGGUAAUAC
rnacentral:rRNA from 1 species